rnacentral:rRNA from 1 species
AGAGUUUGAUCCUGGCUCAGGAUGAACUUUGGCGGCGUGCUUAACACAUGCAAGUCGAACGGACUUAUCAUGAAGCCUAGCGAUUGAUAAGUUAGUGGCGGACGGGUGAGUAACGCGUGGGUAACCUGCCUCGUACUGGGGGACAACAGUUGGAAACGACUGCUAAUACCGCAUAAGCGCACGUUUUCGCAUGAGAAUGUGUGAAAAACUCCGGUGGUACGAGAUGGACCCGCGUCUGAUUAGCUAGUUGGUGAGGUAACGGCCCACCAAGGCGACGAUCAGUAGCCGGCCUGAGAGGGUGAACGGCCACAUUGGGACUGAGACACGGCCCAAACUCCUACGGGAGGCAGCAGUGGGGAAUAUUGCACAAUGGGGGAAACCCUGAUGCAGCGACGCCGCGUGAGUGAAGAAGUAUUUCGGUAUGUAAAGCUCUAUCAGCAGGGAAGAUAAUGACGGUACCUGACUAAGAAGCACCGGCUAAAUACGUGCCAGCAGCCGCGGUAAUACGUAUGGUGCAAGCGUUAUCCGGAUUUACUGGGUGUAAAGGGAGCGUAGACGGCAUGGCAAGUCUGAAGUGAAAGCCUGGGGCUUAACUCCGGUUCGCCUUGGAAACUGAGUCACUUGAGCAUGGUAGAGGCAAAUGGAAUUUCUAGUGUAGCGGUAGAAUGCGUAGAUAUUAGAAGGAACACCAGUGGCGAAGGCGAUUUGCUGGGCCAUUGCUGACGCUGAGACACGAAAGCGUGGGGAGCAAAUAGGAUUAGAUACCCUGGUAGUCCACGCCGUAAACGAUGAUUACUAGGUGUUGGCAGGUAUGACCUGUCAGUGCCGCCGCUAACGCAUUAAGUAAUCCACCUGGGGAGUACGUUCGCAAGAAUGAAACUCAAAGGAAUUGACGGGGACCCGCACAAGCGGUGGAGCAUGUGGUUUAAUUCGAAGCAACGCGAAGAACCUUACCAGGCCUUGACAUCCCGAUGACCGGAACUUAACCGUUCCUUCUCUUCGGAGCAUCGGUGACAGGUGGUGCAUGGUUGUCGUCAGCUCGUGUCGUGAGAUGUUGGGUUAAGUCCCGCAACGAGCGCAACCCUUGUCCUUAGUAGCCAGCAUUUCGGAUGGGCACUCUAGGGAGACUGCCAGGGACAACCUGGAGGAAGGUGGGGAUGACGUCAAAUCAUCAUGCCCCUUAUGGCCUGGGCUACACACGUGCUACAAUGGCGUAAACAAAGGGACGCGAACCUGUGAGGGUAAGCAAAUCUCAAAAAUAACGUCUCAGUUCGGAUUGUAGUCUGCAACUCGACUACAUGAAGCUGGAAUCGCUAGUAAUCGCGAAUCAGCAUGUCGCGGUGAAUACGUUCCCGGGUCUUGCACACACCGCCCGUCA